rnacentral:rRNA from 1 species
ACGAAGGGGGCUAGCGUUGUUCGGAAUUACUGGGCGUAAAGGGCGCGUAGGCGGUCUUGUAAGUCAGGUGUGAAAGCCCUGGGCUCAACCCAGGAUGUGCAUUUGAUACUGCAAGACUAGAGACUGAGAGAGGAAAGUGGAAUUGCGAGUGGAGAGGUGAAAUUCGUAGAUAUUCGCAAGAACACCAGUGGCGAAGGCAGCUUUCUGGCUCGGUACUGACGCUAAGGCGCGAAAGCGUGGGGAGCAAACAGG